GAACGUUUUGCAUUAACAUAAACUCCUCAUCGACCUAAAUCCUCAUCAGCAUAAGAUCUUCAUGUCAUAGGAUUACUGCCACCCUCCCAGUCAUCUGAUACUUCCUCCGAUUAUAAGAUCCUCUUCAAUUUAGGAUUAUUGCUGCCCUCUGAGUCAUCUGAUACUCCCUAUGAACCCAAUAUACAGUGGCAAGCUCAGAAUGUCUUUAUCUCUGCCAGCUCUGAAGCACUGACACCCCUCCCCCCAUACUUUGGAACUAUGUGAGCCUCUAUUGUCUUUUCUUUAGCCCUCACUUUCCCCUUUCCAGGCAGUUGGAGGAUUGAUCGGCCUCCGAUAAUAGUCAACAUCUAGUCCUGGUCCUAGUCCCUGGUCUAGGGCCAGGAACCAAGAGGAGAGGAUCCACAGCUAAGGUCCCAGAUGGAUUUUGUUUAUCUUCCUCUGAAAAUCGAUGUUCUUCAGCAGGGGCUGGGCCCUGGAACUAAACUUUGAUUGGACUAAGCUAAUCAAGACCCGUCAAGUGAUUGUUGAGACUUUGCCUACUACAGGAGAGGCGAGGCCGGAACCGUGCUAAGAUCUUGGCACAGUGAGACUUUUGACACAGUGUGAGUGGUAGAAAAGCAAAAAGAAAAGAGCCUCAGACCUCGAUGAUGCCAUUGAGGCACUGAAUCAGCAAAGUUCUUCCUUUGCACCUUCAGCUGGGGUUUCUUUUAUUUGUUGCCAGAGCAUCCCAAUAAUUAUAGAGUGUUUGGGAUUUACUCUGUUGUAACUGGCAUCAAACAACCAGGGUUAGAAUCUCAACUAUAUUACCAGCUAGCUUUGUGACCUUGGAAGAGUUAUUUUCUCUCUAUGAGCCUAAUUUCUUAAAAUAAUGGAGAAUAAAAAACCUAUUUCCCAAAGUGGAAGUUGAACAUAAAAUAUGAAAAUUAUUAUUGCUAUCCAUAAUACUUAUUAAUAUUAGGUGAGAUAUAAUAAUAUCAGUACCAUAAUAAAGUUCCAUCAGGAGUGAUCUGCAGUGAGAAUGCUUCAAAGUCGACCUAUGUUUCCAGGAAAAUUGCUCAUCCUGACACAGCUGUACCCUGCCUGUUCUCCUAAUGGCACUUGGGGAAAAGCCGGUCUGGCUACAGUUUGGGGUGAGCAGUUCCUCAUUGGAUAUAAAAACAAAAGGGGGCAUAUUCCCAGCAUUUCAGUGCAAGUUUUGGGCUGGAACAUACAGUGAGUAACUUCUCUGGGUUUUUUUUUUUUUUUUUUUUUUUUUUUUUUUUUUUGCACCGAGAAGUAGACAGUUGCACAAAUUUUAGGUCAAAUGUUGUGUCUCUGAUGUGUGGAAGAAAAAUAAGUUUAAGUUUCCAAUUGUAUUGUAUCUGGGGAGUAUUGAUUCCCCAAGUAGAGCUUUGUAGAAGACCUUCUUCCAUCUCAUUCUUUUCAUCCCAUCUCAUUGUUUUCAUCCUCCUCACCCCCCUGUACGGGGCCACUGUCUUAGGAUCCUGGGACCAAAAUAUAGACUGGGUGGCUUAUGAACAACAGAGAUUUAUGUUCAUUUUACUGGUUUACUAGUUUGCUUUUAGUUUUAAUCUCUUAACGAUGUAAUCAACCAGGUGGUUAGGAAAACUUUCUAACACUUCUCAUGUAAACUCAAAUUCUAGGUUUUUCUUUGGAUAACAUAGGUUCUUUACUAUUUGCAAGGUUAUUCCCAAGCUGCAAAGUUCUCUCUUUAUAUUUUUUCCUGUAUUCUUCUAUUCACUUUUGGCUGCCAUACUCAGAUAAACAGAAAGCAUAAAUGCUGUUAUUUCAUGCAUCUGCAGUGGAACACUCAGCAGCAGACAGUAACUCCUCCAGGUCUGUUAAAUAGAAACAUCAGAACUUUAUAUCUCACAGUUCUGGAGGCUGGGAAACCUGAAACUAAGGUUCUUCCAUAGUUGCUUUCUAGUGAAGGCUCUCUUUAGGGUUACACGCUGCUGUCUUCUUGUAUCCUCACAGAGUGGAAGGAAAGUGAGAGAGCCCUCUGCGGUUCUUUAUAUAAAGGCAUUUGUCACAUUUGUGAGGUUUCCAACUACUUUCCCCCCGAAGGUCUCACCUAGGAUUUGUAAAGUAACCCCUAAACACUGCAAAGCCUGAGCAGCUUUACAGCUAUAGCUAGUUUUUCUCCCUUUUUGUUGCAAGAUUAAGGGCCAGAGGAGCAUUGCAUUUUGUAUGUAUUUGUGGUAGAAGCAGCCUCUCGUUUCUGACUGAAAAUAAGGAUGUUGUUAUUCUGAUGAAUAUGACAUCUAGGAGGUCUUUCUCAAGACUGUUUGUUGUGGAAGGCCUGGAGAGGACCAGAGUGCGGUUUGGGCUGCCUAAAUGAGGAGGGGGAGCCCAUGGGAUCCUUCCAUCCCAGAGCCUGUUAUUUUUUUUAAAGGAAGGUCAAGAAAGGAGGAGCU
rnacentral:lncRNA from 1 species